UUGACAAAAAUAACUCAGCAAGAGAAUAAUCCAUAAUUCCAUCAGAUGAAUUGCUUCAAAACCUACAAUUAAGCAAUGAAGCAAGACAAGAGAUACAGAACUGUACAUUGACCCAGAUGACCAUCGCAAAGUUUAAAAUUUGCAAACAGAAUAUGGACUUGUGAAGAUAAAAUGAAGGCUCAAGGAAGCAAAUAACAAAUGCUUGGAGUAAGUCAAAAGUAAAAGARUUGAGAGCAUAUUUUGAGAAUGAGUCUGAAAGAGGAAAUAGAGGUGCGUAAAAUGAGCAGCAUGAGGAGCAUAAGUGUGUGAAGCAGAAGGAAAAAUUGUUCUAGACUAAAGAGGAUGAGCACUGCCUCAUUUUGCUGGGAAACUCUGAAAGAGAGCAUGAGUUGGAGUGUUACUACAAAAACAAAUGGAAUAUGUGAAAUAUCUAUGCAAAAACAAGAAGAAAUGAAUCGAGACUUUGAAAGCAGAAAAUUGGGGAAUUUUAAAAAGUGAACCAAGUACAGGCAAAAAAGAAAAAAGCAAGAAAGAAAAAAAAGCAAGUUCUGGGAGCUACUGUAGAAAUUGCGAGGGGAGUCAAAGAAAAGGAUUACAAUGGUGACAGAAGAAGGAAUAACAGAAGAAAGGAGUUAUAUGAAGAAACUGGACCAGGAAGCAGACGGGCUGCUGGCAAAUGACUUAGCCUGCAGAGGGAAUUUCCUCUUGAUUUGGGAUCAUGGUAGACUCUACCUUGCCUCUGACCAGGUGGGUGGACAAGCUGGAACCAGGCAACAGAAGAAGUUAGCAUCAAAAGAUCCAACCGUUCUAGGAUGGUGCAUGCAUGUGAAAAACUUCCACAAAUUCUAUUGUUUCACUUCAGACAUUUCAGCACUGAUUCCAUUCUUCCCCCCUAUUUUUUCAGUAGGUCACAAAAGAACUGUGAUUGAGCUUCUGCAAAAUAUCUCAUUCUUCCUUGUUCCUUUUACAGAGUGGAAGAAUAUUCCAUUCUAAAAUGAAAAUAUGCAUUAAUACAGUCUUUUGUCUUUAUUAUUUGAGAUCUAUUCCUGGUAUAGGUCCAUUGACCUUAUAUGACUUUUGUGAUCGAAGAUGAAUUUGUUCUUUUCUUAUUCUGAGUUUCUUUUUUGCAAACACUUCUGUAUACAAAGGCUGCUUGCUUUCUUUGCAUCCUGUCAGGGAUGAUAUUGCUCAAUUUACUUCUCUGGUGUCUCAGACCUAUACAGGAAAACCACAUGAAGAAAUAACUAAUAUCUGAAUGCUGUUUUGAGAAACAAUUCUAAUAAUUUUUUAUUCUUCUGUUUCCAUGUCUACACAACUUUAUUAUGGAUGUGCCAUAAACGCAUUUGCACAAGAGAGAUAUUCAAUUAUUGCACUGAAUUUCAGAAUUUAGAGAUGAUGACUGUAUAAAACAGUGAAGAUUGGAGGUAGCUGAGAUGUAUAGGUCCUCUUCUAUGGUUAUUUUAUUUUGUUUUAUAUAUCACUUCUAUAUCCCAUAUGAAAAGAAAAUACGGGCAAUGUAUUUGAUGACAAAGGAGGUGCGUUGGUAUUAGAAUUCCUGCUUAUUUCUAUUUUAUUCACAUUUUAUAACAUAAUUCAAUAUGCUCAUUAUUUUUGACUGACAUUAAUAAGGUGUGAAAGCAGGUCUAACAAGGCUAGCUGUGAGAGCUUUGAAACAAAGAGAUUUAAUACAGAAUAUGGUGUAAGCACUGCAAUAUUUCCCACUUAAUUAUAUGAGAAUACCUGGGGCUGGAUUCAAUAAAAAAUGACAUCAGGCUUCUAUACA
rnacentral:lncRNA from 1 species